AAUUAAAUUGUUAAUGUAUAUACAUUUUUACCCUCAUGCAAAUUCCACUAACGUGUUGCCCUAUUUCCCUGAAAAAAUGCAUAGCCCCCAAACUUGAAAGUUGGGACAAAAAAACAAACGAAAAUGGCUUCUCUGAGCAGCAAAAAUGGCUAUUUCAACUAGAUUUAGAACGCGGCAGCCAUAGCUCCAGUGGUGCAGGCGGCGCCACCAGCAAAGAGAAGGAGGAUAGCAGCGUCUACUCCAAUGUCAUAAAGGGUUAUUGCAACUUUCAAUUCUAUUUUAUUAUCAGCGAAAAUGUUUCAGUGAUUAGAAAUUUAUUUGUGGCUCAUAGAAUUAGAAGACGAGGCCGCGUAAUUUCGGCAAGCUUCAUCCUCUGAUCAUUCUUUCUAAUUUUACUAUUUGAAGAUUCGAAAGGUGAAAAUUUAAAUAUAAAUCUCUCGUUUAAAUUUAUUGUUCAAUCUUCUAAUCUGAUUUUUUAAUUUCCCCAAUUUUGAAGAAAUGGGC
rnacentral:lncRNA from 1 species